GCAGAUCACAAGCGUACCCACGCGCGCAAACGUGACGCCUCCCGAUUCCCCAACAAACUGUCCACCCUCUCCGUCCCGCGCUCUGCCAGGCACAGGCAGGUCGGCAACGUCGCACGCGGCGUCACGCCCCUCGCCCGAAUGCCCAGCCGACACGCAGACAGAGGACACGGAGUCCCAACGCACCGCGGCGCCGCCAGCCACGGCGCUCGCUUCCCGUCGGCACCUUCCGGGCCUCGGACUUGUCGUCCUUAUCUCAAAUUCUCUGUCGCUUUUUUUUAUAGUUGAAAUUCUGUCUCGCUUUUAAUCCCUUCUUUUCUUUUCUUUGCUGUGCGACGGACGAUGAUGUGUAUGGCAUGCACGGCCCCUCUGACGGCGACGUGUGUGUGUACGCAAUCUCAUUCUGAAACCGGCUGCGGCUUUCGAUUCGCGUCGGACAACACAAGAGCAUCAGCAUCACGCGCCCAUCGCUUGCUCGCCUUUCCCCUCCCUCUCCCCCCUCGGCUUCCCCUCGGCUCCAGCAAAACUCCUCCAGUCCAGACUACCCCCGGUUGGAAUUAGGCCCCACUGAGCGCCAACAGCCAUGAGUUGCGGGAGAUCUGAAAACACUACCAGAAAAUGCAGGACGCGUUCAACACCUGGUGAAACGAUAUAUCUACAUACUGCAGAUGCUAAAAAGAUCACCCACUACCAAGCUAAUCUACCAACAACAAUGGAUCGCGAUAUCGGCGCCUACCCUGUGAAGCACCACUUUCCGUCUCCUAUAGUUUCUUGGAUAGAAGACCUUUCUAGCUUUGGCGAUGUUCCUUUUAGUCAUGAUACUGAAUACGUGGAUGAUCAAUCAACACCUUCAUUUGGGCAGUCUUCUGCAUCUAGCAAUUUGCAUGACAUGCAAAUAUCAGUGAGAUUGACAGACGAAUUCAUGGAACUUGCAAAGGAGAAUACAAGCAAUAAUCUAGAGACCUGUGGAAUUCUUGGUGCUUCAUUUAGGGAUGGAACUUAUUAUGUGACAACAUUGAUCAUUCCAAAGCAAGAAGGAACUGCUCACUCAUGUCAAGCUUCUAACGAGGAGGAGAUACACGCCGUAUUAUCAGAGCAGUCACUUUACCCUGCAGGGUGGAUACAUACUCACCCUUCACAAACAUGCUUUCUAUCGUCGAUCGAUUUGCACACUCAGUUCUCUUAUCAGGUCAUGCUACCAGAAGCUGUUGCGAUUGUUGCUGCUCCCACCGAUCCUACUAGGCAUGUGUUUUCUUGCUUAAAAUGAAGUUAACAUACAGUGCGAGUCAUUCAUUUUAUGCCACCUGGCUAACAAUAUCGUAUAAUGAAGUCUGAAAGUCUUUCUGCUGUUUGCAAACCUUCCAGGAGCUAUGGUAUAUUCAGGUUGACAGAUCCAGGAGGCAUGGAUGUGCUCAGGGAGUGCAGUGAGAGUGGGUUCCAUACUCACCGAGAGACAACAGAUGGCAGUCCAAUAUAUGAAACCUGCUCCAACGUGCAUUUCAAACCUAAUUUGCGGUUUGAGAUUGUCGAUCUGCGUUCUGGUGCGUGACCAAUCAGGCACACCCUCAGGAUAGACCAGCCAACGUGCAUAUGUAAGUAUGUGACACAUGUGCCAUAGAUGAUGAUAGAUCUUACUGGUGACUGUUAGUCAGCUUGAUGGGCGUGUUAAAAAAUGGUGUUACCAACCUAUGAUGUCAACUAGCUCUGAACUGUUUUGUUGUAACCAGUAAUCGUGUACGUGCACUGAAUGUCCAGUUUGACAGUAAU
rnacentral:rRNA from 1 species